CAAAGGUUUGGUCCUGACUUUACUAUCAACUCUAACCAUAUUUACACAUGCAAGUCUCCGCACUCCCGUGCAAAUGCCCUUAAUGUCCCGCCCGGAACCAAGGAGCAGGUAUCAGGCACGUAUAAACAGCCCAUAACGCCUUGUUCAGCCACACCCCUACGGGUAGUCAGCAGUGAUAGAUUUUAAGCUAUAAGUGAAAACUUGACUUAGUAACGGUUAAGAGGGCCGGUAAAUCUCGUGCCAGCCACCGCGGUUAUACGAGAGGCCCAAGUUGAUGAAAACGGCGUAAAGAGUGGUUAAGAAAAUAAAUAAAAUAAGGCCGAAUAGUCUCAUUGCAGUUAUACGUUUACGAGACCACUAAGCACAUUCACGAAAGUAGCCUUAGCAGAAUUCUGACUCCACGAGAGCCAUAAGACAAACUGGGAUUAGAUACCCCACUAUGUAUGGUUGUAAAAUUUGAUGGCUUGAUACUCAAACCAUUCGCCAGGGAAUUACGAGCACGAGCUUAAAACCCAAAGGACUUGGCGGUGUUUUAGACCCCCCUAGAGGAGCCUGUUCUAUAACUGAUAAUCCUCGUUAAACCUCACCACCUCUAGUUCCCAUAAGCCGUCUAUAUACCGCCGUCGCAAGCUUACCCUUUGAAGGAUUAAUAGUAAGCAAAAUUGGUAAUACCAAAAACGUCAGGUCGAGGUGUAGCAAAUGGGGUGGGAAGAAAUGGGCUACAUUCUCUGCAGAAGAGUACUACGAAUGGUGGUUUGAAAUAGGCCGCACAGAAGGUGGAUUUAGUAGUAAGUAGGGAGCAGAGUGCCUUACUGAAAAUGGCUCUAAAACGCGUACACACCGCCCGUCACUCUCUCUUAAUAUCUUUUAAAAAUUUACUUAAAUUGCUAUCAUACAAUAAGGGGAGACAAGUCGUAACAUGGUAAGCGUACCGGAAGGUGUGCUUGGAUCAAU
rnacentral:ncRNA from 1 species